AAGGUUAUGUGUUAGCUCAAG
rnacentral:miRNA from 1 species